AGGAAACAAGAAAAAAAGGCCCUGAGUUGUAGCGUUGGGAAAUUUCCGGGCACUACUGAUUCCCACCAUGGUUUUAGAGCAAAUGCUUCUACCAGGACAGAUUUCAAGGUCCAGCCACUUAAUAACCAGUUUACAAAAUUCCUGACAUUUAGCAAUAGUCUCUUGCAAGCAAGAGGGAGCCCUCUCUCGCACACUAAGGGUGAAAAACCGCGGGAUGGGAUGAUUCACUCAUUUCAUCAACGUGGGGUAAGAGCAGGGGCACAGACAAUGACCUCCGCAAGGUGGGGAACCAGAGAAACUAAAGCCCGCAGGGUUCUCUCUGGAGACCAAUCCCAUGCUUUUUCCUGCUACAGAUCCGCUCUCUCCAUGUUUCAAGAGACGUGGCUGCAGGAAGCUUCCAGAGCUACCUCCUCACUGAUUCACAGCCAGAGAAAAAGGAAGCCUUCAGAGCAGGAGAGAAAUCCCCAGCGCAGCCCGGUCAGUCGUUAAUCGUGCAUCACUUUCCCCUUGGAGCAGAAGCCUUCCCUUCUCCUUGGAUCUGUGUAGAUGACAACAAAAAGAACUGUGAUCAAUGGGGACAUGAGAAGAGGUUUGUGAUGAGUCAAUGGGAAACCAGCACCUGUCAUCUGCGUGAAUUCUCCCCUCUUCUUCUCCAGUGAGCCUUUGGCCCACGCCAGCCCUGCCUCCUCGCUGCCUUCAUGAUGAACGCACACAAGAUAUUUUCAAAGAAAACAUGCCAAUACAGGCCCAGAUGAGAAACAGAGAGAAAAUCGAGUUGUCCUUGAGUCCCAGAGAGCUUCAAAGGGGCUGCACCUUUUCAAAGAGGGACGUUUCUGCCUUAGAGAAAUGGUGAGGAGCUCGACAUUCACACAGGCCUUCCUUCAGAGCCUGGUUGCUCGGCAAAGGCAAAGUCCGGCUCCACCCUGGUGCACCUCAGCUGGGCCACAAACAUCAUCCCAGCCCCCCGGGUUGCUUAACCCACGAACCAAGGCAGCAGUUGUGAAUAGGAUGCAGCCACAGCUCUUUUCAUAAAAGAGAAUUCCUCCAGCAAGUUUGUUUACAGAGCAAAGAUUCUCCCUCCUGGAGGGUGGGAAACAGCAUCCCUUUUUGGAGGAUCCAACUGCUUUACCUUCAUGUCACUGAUAUCCAUUCUGGGAUUUGACAAAUAUUUAUUGAUAUCUCCUCUGUUUGACAAGUCCUUUGGAACUGGCCUCUACAGGGUAAUCAUUUAAAAUUGAUUUUCAUGCUGCCUUAUAUUAUAAAUUGAUGGCAAAUAUUUAUUUUGUGAUUAGGUGCUCAUCAGUAUUCCUUGGAGGCCACCCACCCAGGAGGCAGUGUGGCUUGGCGAAGGGAGAGGGGAUGUAGAAUCAGACACAUGUGGUCUGACUCUUGACGGGUCUAGAUGUGUGACGUUGGAUGGACAGCUCAGACACUCUGGGCCUCAGUCUUACUUUUCUCUGAGAACAUCUUUCUAACUCGAAAGCCAGUGCUCUCUUCCUCAAAGAGCCCCUUUCGGUUGGGUGGACAGGAGGCAAGAGUUCAUUGAUCCUGGCAGACAGGAGUUGGCACAGUUUCAGAGGAACAGAGAGGAAGACUCCAGCAGGCCCAACCCGAGAGGGUGUGUUUGGGAAUGAGAGUUAACACUGGGUUGGUGAAAGAAAAGUGUUUCUGUGUGGCACAUGGAUCACACCCCAAAAGCCCAGGUUGUAGGAUAGGGGUUUUGGAAGCCCCUGGAUGAUGGUGGGGCUUGAAUAAAAGCCUCCUAUCAAUAGAGUGCUAGCCUGCUUGUCCUUCACUGGACAUUAGAGAAAAUAACCAAUAGAAAGAUGGUGUUUUUCUUGCUUGAAGAAAG